CAGCUACACUGCCCUCUCAUGGAUGCCUUCAAGGACCUCAACAUCCUUUUCAAAUUGAGGAGUGCAGAACUAUAUGCAGUAUUCAAGCCGCGGCGGUAGAGGCCGGCCGGCGGAGCAGAACGGAGCGGGGGGCGCCGCGACAGACAAAGCAAAGAUGGCAGGGAUCCUCGCCUGGUUCUGGAACGAGCGGUUCUGGCUGCCGCACAACGUCACCUGGGCCGACCUGCAGAGCACGGAGGAAGCCUCCUUCCCGCAGGCGGAGGACCUCUACCUCGCCUUCCCGCUGGCCUUCUGCAUCUUUAUGAUCCGGCUGCUCUUCGAAAGGUUCGUUGCUAAACCAUGUGCCUUAGGCCUUAAAGUCCAAGCCAACGGACCACAGAAAGCUCAACCUAAUGCUAUCCUGGAAAAAGUUUUCACAGCCAUUACAAAGCAUCCGGAUGAGAAGAGGCUGGAGGGUCUCUCCAAGCAGCUGGACUGGGACGUACGCAGCAUUCAGCGUUGGUUUCGACAAAGACGCAACCAGGAGAAGCCCAGUACUCUUACAAAGUUCUGUGAGAGCAUGUGGAGAUUUACAUUUUACCUUUAUAUAUUUACCUAUGGAGUACGGUUCCUGAAAAAGACACCCUGGCUUUGGAAUACCAGACAGUGCUGGAAUGGUUACCCAUAUCAGCCACUGAUGCCUGACCUUCAUUAUUACUACAUUGCUGAAUUAUCAUUCUACUGGUCCUUAAUGUUUUCUCAGUUCAUUGACAUCAAAAGAAAGGAUUUUGGCAUCAUGUUUACACAUCACAUUGUAACAGUCACCCUGAUAACCUUCUCAUAUGUAACCAAUUUGACACGAGUGGGAACCCUGACCUUAUGUCUCCAUGAUGCUGCUGAUGUUGUCCUAGAGGCUGCCAAAAUGGCAAACUAUUGCAAGUGUCAAAAACUGAGUGACCUUCUGUUCCUUACGUUUGCAAUUGUCUUCAUUGUCAGUAGGCUUGGCAUAUAUCCUUUAUGGAUAUUAAACACUACAUUAUUUGAACUGUAUGAAGCUCUGGGCAAUUUUCCUGCCUUGUGGGUCUUCAACGUGCUGCUUGUGGUUCUUCAAAUUCUGCACUGUUUUUGGUCUUAUCUAAUAAUAAAGGCAGCCUACAAAGCCAUUUCAAAAGGCAAGGUAACAAAGGAUGACCGAAGUGACAUUGAGUCAAGCUCAGAUGAGGAAGAAACAGUACCUCGUUCAAAGACCCUGCACAGUACUAUCACCACUAAUGGGACUGGUGGUGUCAAUGGGACAAAUGGGUAUCUUACUGGUAGCACAUGCUCAGAGGAGCAUUAAUCUUUGAGUGUCACAAGACAUAAACAGGAUGAACUGUUUGCUACUGUAAGUAAAUUAGAAGUUGUGAAUGCUGUUUCUUCAUAUAUCUCAGCAUAAAAAAAAUUAGGAGUAUCGAAGCAUUCUGAUAGUGCACUGCCAUACUCCCUGUUUGUGAAUGAAGACGACACAUCAUUCUGUAUACGUAGGUAGGCAUGCUGUAUGUGUAUGUAAUUGACACAAUGGGAGCAGUAUUUUCACUUGUACCAUAUUUGAAAUAUUAUUUAUUCUGUAUUCUUUCUGGGAACUUCUGGACAAAAGGGAACAUCUAUUCUCAAACUUUAUCUCUUGGGAUUCUCAGUGGUGGAGAGUAUCACGCUCUGAUCUCUUUUGUCCAUUCCUGUUGCUUUUGCUGAGUCUGCUAUAAAUAAUAGCUGCUUUAUUUGUUACUUACAAAAGAUAGAACAUAGCUUUGCAGAUUCUAGAUCUGCUUCAGAUAUUUUUGUUACUUUGUGUUUUAAAGUGCUGGUUUUGAAACUGCCUAUCGAAUCACACUGGCCAUUCCUCCAAUAUAAAGUUUUAAAAGACUGGAUUUAUAUGUUGAAUGCUAGGUAAUAUGAUCAAUUAGCAAUUAGGGAAAAAAGAACCAUUGUGAUUGUGGAAAUGUUACUUUAGAAUAACCUAAAAUUCAGAAUUGGUGGUUAAUUGCAUUAGGAGUAGUUUUGAUUAGUUGUGCAAAUGUCCAGAAGCAUUGAUGUCAGCAGUUAGGAUGCACUCAUUCUUGCCUUUUAUUUUUCCUUGCAAUUUUUGACAUCUAUUAUGACAAUCAGCUUUUUACACAGAUUCCAUGUUGAAAGUGCACCAUUGUGAAUCCAGAACUCACUCCUGAAACUCUUCCAAGCUCAUAAAGAUGAGAGCAGAGAUUGAAAAAAGCAGCAGAUGAAGUCAUUGCUUCCUUGGACACAGUUUAUUCUAGGCACCGUUUGCACAUUAGCAAAAGACACGCUGAAAGUAAGGACAGAGUAGUAUGAAUGAAAAUCGUACCACCUCUUAGUAGAAAACAAAGGUAAGAAAACAAAAAAGUUCUAAAUCAUGGGAGAAAAAAUGUCAGUUUUGCUACUUAUGCAGCAUUCUUUAUUAUUCAGCAGUUUCAUAGUUUGUAUGUCCCUGAGCAUAUCUGAAGGAGAAAGGAAGUCUUAUUUAAAUCUCCCUCUCCUCUAAAAGCUUCUUUGCCUCUAAUUUUUUUUCAUCUGUCUUCUGUGCCUCUGAUUUUAAUGCAAGUAACACAUAUGAAGAUAGCAUGUAAUACAGAUGAAGAUACCGUGAUUGCAAUAGAAGCUAUCCCAUCCACAGUAUUUGAAUUGCCACUGUUUAAGAAUUAUUAUUAAGAUUAUGCUAAGGUUUUAAAACAAAAUGAUCUUGGGAUUUAUUGAAUACGUGUUAUUAGUUCUGAAAUCUGACUUGCUAAUUGACCUGGUCAUUGAGAAUAACAGUAUCAUAGAAUAACCAGAGUUAGAAUAGACCCACAGGGAUCAUUUAGUCCAGCUCCUGGCUCCACACAGGACCACCCACAAUUCAAUCCCUAUGUCUAAGAAUCUUGACUAAAUGUUCCUUGAAUUCUGGCCACAUGAGAUUGUGACCACUGCUCCACGGGAGAUUGUUCCAGUGCCAACCAGCCUCUGGUGAAUAGGCCUGAACAUGCUUCCUUCAUGAUGUUCAUUUCUAUCUCUACUGGAUUUCCCUUUUGCAAAGAUAGUUACAAAACUGGCAUUCUGGCAAAUAUUUUGUCUUAUAUGGGGGCAGAAUGUUGCUCUAAAUUGUCAGUGUACAUUUAUAUUAUUGUAACAUCUUUGAUAUCUGGACAGAAAACAGUUCCCAUUAACAAUCUCCAAACAAGAGGCAGGUAACGUUGGUCCCUGUUGAUCCUCACCAGCUCUUUUGUAUAGUAUUGAGUCAGACCUACAGUCAGUGUUACAAACGCAGUUGACUAGCUGCCUCUGGCUUAGUGUAUCCCCAUUGUUAAAUAAUGUAACUUGGAUUGAAACUUGGAUUGAAAUUGGUUUGAAUUCUAAAUUAAGUUGUAUCUGUUAUGCACUAAAGCAUGUAAAUACUUACUGUGGUUCAUCUGACCUCCAGUAACUUAUCUCCUAUAAAACAGGCUUUUCGAAGUCUAUUCAUAGCAGCUUAGAAUAAGUAUAAAUAUGUCUAGAAAAUAGGCAGAGUAACAGGGUCAAAAGGCAUGUUUGUGAAAAUGGGGUGAGAGCAAAGAAGCUUCAAGUACUUAACUAAACUUUGCUAAACAAUUUUUGAUGGAGAUUCAUAUAAUUUUUUAUCUGUCCUUACUGAAAAUGACCAGGUGUUUUAGUGAUUAUACUUGGCAGCGUGCUUUGAUUCAUUGCUUUGGCCAAUGGAUGUCAAAACUUUGGCCUCAUCUUCCAGACAAUAUCACACACUUGUUUCCUUUUCAGUUGAAUUUGUUUGCUUCUUUGCUGAAGAGGUUUGUAAGGUGCUUUUGGAGGCUGUUACAUAUGUAAAGGAUAAUCACGCAUAUUCCUGAAAAUGUAUUAAAGUGAUUCGCAUGGCUCAUGGUAAAUGCGAUAUCUUAAAAGGUUAUGUAUAUUCAUACCUUCUGUAGAAUUUAGAAAUGAGGGUUUGUAUUCUGUAACCUUUUUGUCUUCAACCUUUAUGCUCUCUUUCUAUAGUACAGUACACGACACAGUGGUUAAGAUGUUGAAGUAGAAAAAUGAGGAAGUGAUGUGUAGAGUUUGUUAGUAAAUGGUAGGAAUUUUUCUUCUUUCCUUAGCCAGUCCAGAGUAUAUUAAAAUAAAUUCAGGUCUCCCUUUGCUUACUGCUUUUCAUAUUGUCAUGUUUUGUACCAGAAAAAAAUAUAUAUAUUGGUUUUUUUUCUUAAGAAAACAAAACAAACGCAAACACUUAAACAUUGCAGAAAAUGGAAGAAAUAUCUAAUGAAACAACAAUGGUGAACGCUGGAGUGAUUUGGGUCUUGACUGUUGUUAAAUAGUUCUAGUUCUAUAAUACCAAAGUGUCCCAUGCUGUUUCCUUGUUGCCAUUUUGUAUUUUUUCUAUGCGUUAUUUAAUUCCAGCAGAGCUGAAACAGGUGUCACAGCUUCAGAUAUGUUCAGCUCCUGUUUCAGAUUGGGACCAUUCUGUAUGAUUGCUGAUGCCAAAUCCUUUUUCUGAGAUCCGAGUACAUGCACAAAAGCUUUGCUUACAGUAAAAUAAUUCUUGUCUUAAAUCUGUGUCUGUUUUGAAUGAAAAUCACUUCACAGUUCUGAAUGGACCAUGAUGGCAAAUGCUGUUACUCUGCAGCAAAUGUCAGUGAUCAACUAAGAAGCAUAAUGCCUGUUAUGUUCAUCUUUUCAUUAGCUCAGCCUUCCGUAUUCUCAGAUAAAUAUGGGCUAACAUUGGUUUUCUAUAGUUGAUGCUUUGGUAUUUUUUUAAUCUAUUUGCUACAACCCAUUUUUGUAUGUCUCCUACUUGUCUACUACUUGUGACAUUUGUUGUAAGAGAAGCUGUUGAAUACUUUUUAUCCUUCCUGUAAUGUAAAACCUGUUAGGCCUAACUUCAGUGUUCUGCAAACUACAGUUGCCUUUAAACCAUAAAGAAAAACCAAUUUGUAUUACUUGUUUUGAUGGGUUUGAUUUGGAGCAGGGAUCUAAUGGGAACUUCAGGAAGACAACCUUAUUCUUUAUUUCUUUUCUUUUUGGAAAACAUUUAUGGAAGUUUGGAAAAGUGACAUAUGUGUGUAGCCUUUAAAUUGUAAAGAUUUCUGACUGCAGUUGCAAUGAAAACACAAUGUUUGAAUGUGUCUGUACAGAAUUCUGUUUUUGAAAUUGCUUUCAAUUUGAAAAAUAGAUGAAAAGGCUAUGAAAUGAUGUUUUGCAGCUGACAGUGAUUACAGUGAUUAUAUAUGAGAUGGAAAAAAAAAAAAGAAAAAAAAAAGAUUCUUAUCUAACCUAAAAUGAUCUAUGUAAUUAAAGACAUUUUAUAGCUUCUGUUGAGCUUCAUCUUCUGGUAGUCCCAGGAUUUAAGUUUCAUAGAUAAGCUCUCAUGUUGUACUGUGCAUGUUGACUGCCUGUUGCAAGUCAGGGUUAGAGUGAGGCAGAUGACACUACUUCAGCUGUGUUUUCAUUACAAUCUGGUGCUUGAGCAACUCUUUCAGAAAUGCAACGAUAUGUAGGAACUCCACAGUCCCAGACACAGUGAUGUGCUAGCUAGCUGAAAGUCCUUUUAUGUACAGCUGUUGCGUAGAAAUUUGGGAGUUAUUUUGAGUUUGACUCAGUUUGUUUUUUUCAUUGUUUCUUUUUAUAUUAUGGACAAUAAGUAUUCCUCAUGAAGUCUCUGGAAUCAAUUAAUAUUGUGGGUUAUUUUAGU